AAAUACUAAUUGGGACAUUCUCCGAUUUCUCUUAGAGCACGGAGACGAUUGCUCCGUCGAGUCUUCUGAUCUCUAUUUUCAUCCUCAUCUUCCAGCUGCCUCACUCAUUCUCUCUCAGUUUAUCGAAGUUAAUUUAUUCUGAGGCGAUGGAAAUGCAAGACAAAUCCCUAAUUGUACUUCACUUUUAUUUGAGUUGGGGUGAACGAAAUGAGAUUUGUGGAAAAUGACGCCACUUCCCGUGUUAGCCGCUGGUCGUAUCAUACAGCCCAUAUUUCAUUGCAGGUGAUGGGCCAACGUUCGUGUUGAGAUCCGCUGAGUUUCCUCGUACUCGUGGAGUUGAAUUUGUGGCAGAAAUUGCACUGAAUUGCAGUCAAAUGGUUGUGAAUGAAACGAGAUUUGUGGAAAAUGACGCCACUUCCCGUGUUAGCCGCUGGUCGUAGCAUACAGCCCAUAUUCCAUUGCAGGUGAUGGGCGAAAGUUCUUGUGGAGAUCCGCUGAGCUUCCUCGGCGUACUCGUGGAUUUAUGAAUUUGUGUCAGAAAUUGCAGUCGAGUGGACUUCUGUGCGUGUGUUGUGAGUAAAUCGCGACGGCUCCCUUCCUUCAGCAUCGUCAAAACGCAACAUAGAGCAUUAUUACGCACUCGUUCCAUGAUUCAUGAUAAUGCCUGGAUUCUUUUAAAAACAAUCAAUGUGUGUUCCCUAUCUAUCUACAUUGUACAUGGUUGCAGGUCGUUAUUUAUAAAUCUUGAUAAUUUCAACACUUUUCUA